rnacentral:rRNA from 1 species
CUGGCGGCAGGCUUAACACAUGCAAGUCGAACGCGUGUAGCAAUACACGAGUGGCGCACGGGUGAGUAACACGUGGAUAUCUGCCUUUUGGUUCGGAAUAACCCUGGGAAACUAGGGCUAAUACCGGAUGGUUCCUACGGGAUAAAGAUUUAUCGCCAAAAGAUGAGUCCGCGUCCGAUUAGCUAGUUGGUGAGGUAACGGCUCACCAAGGCGACGAUCGGUAGCUGGUCUGAGAGGACGAUCAGCCACACUGGGACUGAGACACGGCCCAGACUCCUACGGGAGGCAGCAGUGGGGAAUAUUGGACAAUGGGGGCAACCCUGAUCCAGCCAUGCCGCGUGAGUGAUGAAGGCCUUCGGGUUGUAAAGCUCUUUUGGCGGGGACGAUGAUGACGGUACCCGCAGAAUAAGCCCCGGCUAACUUCGUGCCAGCAGCCGCGGUAAGACGAGGGGGGC